AGAGUUUGAUCCUGGCUCAGAACGAACGCUGGCGGCAUGCCUAAUACAUGCAAGUCGAACGAGACCUUCGGGUCUAGUGGCGCACGGGUGCGUAACGCGUGGGAAUCUACCCUUGGGUUCGGAAUAACAUCGGGAAACUGAUGCUAAUACCGGAUGAUGACGUAAGUCCAAAGAUUUAUCGCCCAGGGAUGAGCCCGCGUAGGAUUAGCUUGUUGGUGAGGUAAAGGCUCACCAAGGCGACGAUCCUUAGCUGGUCUGAGAGGAUGAUCAGCCACACUGGGACUGAGACACGGCCCAGACUCCUACGGGAGGCAGCAGUAGGGAAUAUUGGACAAUGGGGGCAACCCUGAUCCAGCAAUGCCGCGUGAGUGAUGAAGGCCUUAGGGUUGUAAAGCUCUUUUACCCGGGAUGAUAAUGACAGACCGGGAGAAUA
rnacentral:rRNA from 1 species